rnacentral:rRNA from 1 species
GGUUCAGGAUGAACGCUAGCGACAGGCUAACACAUGCAAGUCGAGGGGCAGCAUAAAAGUAGCAAUACUUGGUGGCGACCGGCGCACGGGUGAGUAACGCGUAUGCAACCUACCUAUCAGAGGGGAAUAACCCGGCGAAAGUCGGACUAAUACCGCAUAAAACAGGGGCACCGCAUGGUGAUAUUUGUUAAAGAAAUUCGCUGAUAGAUGGGCAUGCGUUCCAUUAGGUAGUUGGUGAGGUAACGGCUCACCAAGCCGACGAUGGAUAGGGGAACUGAGAGGUUGGUCCCCCACACUGGUACUGAGACACGGACCAGACUCCUACGGGAGGCAGCAGUGAGGAAUAUUGGUCAAUGGGCGGGAGCCUGAACCAGCCAAGUCGCGUGAAGGAAGAAGGAUCUAUGGUUCGUAAACUUCUUUUGCAGGGGAAUAAAGUGCAGGACGUGUCCUGUUUUGUAUGUACCCUGAGAAUAAGGAUCGGCUAACUCCGUGCCAGCCGCCGC